AUUGAACGCUGGCGGCAUGCUUUACACAUGCAAGUCGAACGGUAACAGGCCGCAAGGUGCUGACGAGUGGCGAACGGGUGAGUAAUGCAUCGGAACGUGCCCGAUCGUGGGGGAUAACGGAGCGAAAGCUUUGCUAAUACCGCAUACGAUCUACGGAUGAAAGCAGGGGACCGCAAGGCCUUGCGCGGACGGAGCGGCCGAUGGCAGAUUAGGUAGUUGGUGGGGUAAAAGCUUACCAAGCCGACGAUCUGUAGCUGGUCUGAGAGGACGACCAGCCACACUGGGACUGAGACACGGCCCAGACUCCUACGGGAGGCAGCAGUGGGGAAUUUUGGACAAUGGGCGCAAGCCUGAUCCAGCCAUGCCGCGUGCAGGAUGAAGGCCUUCGGGUUGUAAACUGCUUUUGUACGGAACGAAAAGACUCUGGUUAAUACCUGGGGUCCAUGACGGUACCGUAAGAAUAAGCACCGGCUAACUACGUGCCAGCAGCCGCGGUAACAC
rnacentral:rRNA from 1 species